UUCUGUAGAUCAAGAGUUCAUUCAUAAAGACAAUCAUAAGAACAAUGAUUUAGACUAAUCUUAACAAAAUGAAAUAAAACAAAUUCUCCUUUUUUGCAUCACCUCCAUUCACCUUCCAAAGCUGCUUUGAAUGUCAAAACCUACUAGUAACAUUAAGCAAAUAAUCAGCCUCUAAAAACGAGGCCUAGACUGCACUGUAGCUUAUUAGGAUAAAGGGAAACAAUGAAGCCCAUAUAUUCCACAUGAAUGCAAAAACGUGCAUAUGUUGCCCACCAAAUCUGAGUUUAAGCUGAGCUUUUAACAGCAAUCUUUUGUAAAGACAAUGAGUGCAUAUAUAUUAAAAAACUACACGAGCAAAUACUUCAGUCCAAACUAAAAUUCUUAAGUCUGAAAAUAAAAUAUCAGCCUGUUUUACACUAUGCUGUGGCAACAAAGUGAAAUAUCCAUUCACCAGUACACCAGUCCUUCAUUUCACAGCAUGGCCUCACUUGUGGCUUCCAUAUGAAAUAAACAGCAUCUGUGCUGGAGAAAGUUUACCCAGCCUGCUGUAAGAGUGACUCAGUGCACAGAGAGAGUGAAUGUGUCAGAGUGUUUUGUGACGGUAGGAUUAGCUCACAGUAAAUUUCCUUUUCCUUAUGACACGCUACUCAUGCUCACAUUCCUGUUCUCAAUUCCAGUUACUGAAAAGAAUGAGGAGCCUGUGUAGAGAUGUUUGGAGCUUUGGUGAGGAAACGUAGCAGUCUACAUCAGAGGGAAAAUAUCUACUCCACCCUACAACAGAAUGGUUUGAGAGACACUAGUGACCACAGAGAUGGGCUCAGGAGAAGUGAUACAUUGUGUAAGGUCUAUUGAGGAGUUAUUACGUGUCUCCAGACAGUUUGGGUUGCCAAGAUGCCUCAUUCUCUGUUGAGUCAUAUAGAGAGGAGCCACAUGAAUCAGUGACUUCAAUGGAAAUGCAGUCAUCACACAAAAGGGUGCAACAACUUCUAGGUCGGAGUGCAUUCAGUCUGAAAGUGAAUAUGAAAUAGCAGAUAUUACAGUGAUAGAAAAAGAGGUUGUUACCAAGUAUUCAAGAUUGGAGGUCACUGGAAAGCAAUAUAAAUAAAUCACUACUUUUAACUAAAUAAGAUGUCAGAAAAUAACUAUUUUAAUAAAAGAAAAUAUUUACCUCUGGUAAAAAUAAAUUGUUAUUAGGAUCCAUUUAUGUCAAAUGAUUAAAUGAAAGUAAUAUAAAUACAUUAUUUUUCAAGUGAAUUUAAAUUAAAAGUUUUAUAAUAUAUUGUAUAAUUAAAAUUAUCAAACUGCUACAUAAAAAAAUCAAAACAUGAAACUUAACAUUUUGUUAUUUAUGCAC
rnacentral:lncRNA from 1 species